AGAGCAGGGCAGUCACACAGAGCAGCCGGCAGGCUUUGCCUCGGGGCUGUGCUCUGGGGUUUGGGCUGGGGGGAUGGGACACCCCGCUCACACUCCUGGGAGCUGGGUCGGGUGCUUUAGGCUGUGGUCAGUUGUGUGUGGGAUGUGCUGGGAUCGGCUCUGCGCUGGCGGGGCCGUGGAGCGAGGCUCACGCAGGGGUUCUGUGGCUCAGGGGAGCAAACAGGAGGUUUCCUGAGAGGCUCCAGGUACCAUUCCCCACUCCUUCCACUCAACACUCCAACUGUAGUGGUGACAGACCAUGGGAAGCAGAUCUGACAGGCUCCAGGGUGUUUUCUUGAAUUGAUUACAACCUGGUGGAGCUGCUGGAAAUGAGCUUCUGCUACUAUUGGCACUGUCUACUGAAGCAGAACAGGAAAACCCAGAGUCUGCAAAGGUAAAAUUCAAGUUAUUAAUCUACUGGUUAUGUUUCUCAGAAUGAAGAAGU
rnacentral:lncRNA from 13 species